rnacentral:rRNA from 1 species
UACGGAGGAUGCGAGCGUUAUCCGGAUUUAUUGGGUUUAAAGGGUGCGUAGGCGGUCCGUUAAGUCAGCGGUAAAAUUGCGGGGCUCAACCCCGUCGAGCCGUUGAAACUGUCAGACUUGAGUUGGCGAGAAGUAUGCGGAAUGCGUGGUGUAGCGGUGAAAUGCAUAGAUAUCACGCAGAACUCCGAUUGCGAAGGCAGCAUACCGGCGCCCUACUGACGCUGAGGCACGAAAGCGUGGGUAUCGAACAGG